UAUGGCUCAGGACGAACGCUGGCGGCGUGCCUAAUACAUGCAAGUCGAGCGGAGAUAGUGGAGCUUGCUCCAUUAUCUUAGCGGCGGACGGGUGAGUAACACGUGGGCAACCUGCCCUGCAGAUCGGGAUAACUCCGGGAAACCGGUGCUAAUACCGAAUAGUUUGCGGCCUCUCAUGAGGCUGCACGGAAAGACGGUUUCGGCUGUCACUGCAGGAUGGGCCCGCGGCGCAUUAGCUAGUUGGUGAGGUAACGGCUCACCAAGGCCACGAUGCGUAGCCGACCUGAGAGGGUGAUCGGCCACACUGGGACUGAGACACGGCCCAGACUCCUACGGGAGGCAGCAGUAGGGAAUCUUCCGCAAUGGACGAAAGUCUGACGGAGCAACGCCGCGUGAGUGAAGAAGGUUUUCGGAUCGUAAAACUCUGUUGUGAGGGAAGAACAAGUACCAACUAACUAUGGUACCUUGACGG
rnacentral:rRNA from 1 species